AACGAUAACCAACUGGCGAUGUUAUUCACCCUGGCCAACCUGUUUCGGGUGGACCAAAUGAUACGUCAGUGGGAGAGAUCU
rnacentral:rRNA from 1 species